rnacentral:lncRNA from 1 species
CAGAAAGCCAGUUAGAGCAAACUUAUCUGCUUUAUAGAGGGCAGGCUCAUUUCCCUCUGUGGCCAUCUCCUCCAUCGGAAAUCCUCUUCUGUGACAUUUGACAGACUGUGAGCCUUCCUACCUCCGCGCCUGCGAUGCCUGAUUCCAUCUGGAUUGGACUGCUGCAGACAUGCGGGGAGCCUCCUUAUCCUAAAGUUACCAGCAGCCCCCUUCCCAAGGGAUGCUACCUUCAGAAAUCAUCAAUCAAGCACAUUCUUGUACAAGUGAAGAACAGGCUUGCUGAAGAGCUUCCGUUUGCAGCCCAGUCUUCAAAUAUUGCGUACCAUUAAGAACACAUGAUAAAUUGGAACUCUUUAGAUAUUUGAAUUUAGCGUCUUGUUUAUACACAUCCCUUCUUUGCUUGUUAUGAUGAUGAAUUUUAAUUUUCAAAUAAGAGUCACUUCACUGACUUUAAAGAUCGUCAAAUGAAAUUGAAAAAGAAGAUGUAAAUCACUGGAAAAGAUGGUAGAAGCAAUCACAUACGAGGCGUGGGACUUACUGAAGUUGAUCCACUGUCUGACAGAUUCAGACUGUGUUUAGAUCCUUUGCUUUGGCUUCCUGCUUCAGUGUGGAGCAGGCUGCUUUGUAACCUAAUCUCUUUGGUAGAAAGAAAGAAACUGCCAGAGGGAUGGUAUAGAGCCCUGGCCUGUGAUGAACAAGUCUCAAGGGCUGCCUCAAACAGCAGAUGUAGCAGAACUGCUGUUUAAAGACAUUGUCUUUUAGAUGUCAUGCUAAGAAUAUAUACCUCAAAAGGCCUAAAAAAACUAAACGAACUGGAGAAGCAGGCAGUGAUUAUACAAAAGCAGCAUGCAAGAUCACAGAAGUGAAAAAAUGCAUAAAGUUAAAUACAUUAAAGCUCUCUUAAAUCACAAGGGAGCUUUUGGUAAUAUAUUCAAAAUAGAAACAAGAAAGGUAUCAGAACAUUAAAUAGUCCUUAGGGGACUGCAGAAGGCUAGAGAAAAUUUUUAAUAACAUUGAUGUGUCAGAUGGAAUGUUCUCAUUCCCUUGACUUCUCACCCUUUAUUUUCUUUUUAAAAGUCACCUUUAGAAAGCCUUUCAUGAUCCAUUCUACCUGCUGACUUGAAUUUAGUCUUCUGCACCUUACGUUAUUGUGCAUGUCCCCUUUAAUUGCUCAUUGUGUGGCUUGGCAAUCUGACUGGGCUUUAAACAUAGCAAGGUCACAAUACAUACCUUUGGAGUCUGCAGUUUCCUCUCUAGUUUCAGUAUAAUCAUUGUGUUUGCAGGUGUUGUUUAACAAGUGAUGCCUGGGUCACAAGACACUUCCAGAUUACAAAGAAAAGUUAAUGGAAAGAUCUCAAACCAUGCCAAUAUUGUUAAUAUUUAUGUUUUGUUAUGAAAGCAAAAGCAAGAGGAAGAAGUUACAGGUAUAACAGUGAGAAUGUAAAAGGCAUUUCAUUGUUUUGACACGAAUAAUGAAGAUGAUGAGAUACCAUCACCUUUCAUGUCUACAGAUUUAGCAUCUGUGGAAAGC